CUUUCCCUCUUUCCCUCGGCCUAACACAUGCAAGUCGAACGGCAGCACAGUAAGAGCUUGCUCUUACGGGUGGCGAGUGGCGGACGGGUGAGGAAUACAUCGGAAUCUACUUUUUCGUGGGGGAUAACGUAGGGAAACUUACGCUAAUACCGCAUACGACCUACGGGUGAAAGCAGGGGAUCUUCGGACCUUGCGCGAUUGAAUGAGCCGAUGUCGGAUUAGCUAGUUGGCGGGGUAAAGGCCCACCAAGGCGACGAUCCGUAGCUGGUCUGAGAGGAUGAUCAGCCACACUGGAACUGAGACACGGUCCAGACUCCUACGGGAGGCAGCAGUGGGGAAUAUUGGACAAUGGGCGCAAGCCUGAUCCAGCCAUACCGCGUGGGUGAAGAAGGCCUUCGGGUUGUAAAGCCCUUUUGUUGGGAAAGAAAAGCAGCAGGUUAAUACCCCGCUGUUCUGACGGUACCCAAAGAAUAAGCACCGGCUAACUUCGUG
rnacentral:rRNA from 1 species